rnacentral:lncRNA from 1 species
UUUAAUGCAGACCUCAGAAUGUCUCCUUUUUUGGGAUAAGAGAGGACCUGAUAGCAAAUAAUGUCAUCUCAGAAAGCCAGUUCUUUGUACCUUUAAUGUGCUCUUGGCUCGCUAUGAUGCCUACACUCUUACGUACUUUCCUUUUAUCUGUGAAACAAAUUAUCUUUUGAGGUCCUCUUAAGACAUGGAGUGCUGUUUCCUCUAAUGCAGACCUCAGAAUGUCUCCUUUUUUGGAAGAAGAGAGGACCUGAUAGCAAAUAAUGUCAUCUCAGAAAGCCAGUGCUUUGUACCUUUAAUGUGCUCUUGGCUCGCUAUGAUGCCUACACUCUUCCAUACUUUCCUUUUAUCUAUGAAACAAAUUAUCUUUUGAGGUCCUCUCAAGACAUGGGGUGCUGUUUCCUAUAAUGCUGUCCUCAGAUUGUCUCAUUUUUUGGCUAAGAGAGGACCUGAUAACAAAUAAUGGCAUCUCAGAAAGCCAGGGUUUGUACCUUCAAUGUGCUUUUGGCUCGCUAUGAUGUCUACAUUCUUCCGUAGUUUCCUUUUAUCUAUGUAGCAAAUUCUCCUUUGUAUAUCAAAACCAUGUGAUAGGUUG